rnacentral:rRNA from 1 species
AGAGUUUGAUCCUGGCUCAGGACGAACGCUGGCGGCGUGCCUAACACAUGCAAGUCGAGCGGGGAAGGCCUUCGGGCCUUUCCAGCGGCGGACGGGUGAGUAACGCGUGAGCAACCUUUCCUUCACAGGGGGAUAACGCAGCGAAAGCUGUGCUAAUACCGCUUAAGACCACGGUGUUGCAUGACACAGGGGUCAAAGGAGAAAUCCGGUGAAGGGUGGGCUCGCGUCUGAUUAGCUGGUUGGCGGGGUAACGGCCCACCAAGGCGACGAUCAGUAGCCGACCUGAGAGGGUGAUCGGCCACACUGGGACUGAGACACGGCCCAGACUCCUACGGGAGGCAGCAGUGGGGAAUAUUGGGCAAUGGGGGAAACCCUGACCCAGCAACGCCGCGUGAGGGAAGAAGGUUUUCGGGAUCGUAAACCUCUGUCCUCAGGGACGAAGAAAUGACGGUACCUGAGGAGGAAGCCCCGGCUAACUACGUGCCAGCAGCCGCGUAAUACGUAGGGGGCAAGCGUUGUCCGGAAUGAUUGGGCGUAAAGGGCGCGUAGGCGGCCUGUUAAGUCUGGAGUGAAAGUCCUGCUUUCAAGGUGGGAAUUGCUUUGGAAACUGGCGGGCUGGAGUGCAGGAGAGGUUAGCGGAAUUCCCGGUGUAGCGGUGAAAUGCGUAGAGAUCGGGAGGAACACCAGUGGCGAAGGCGGCUAACUGGACUGUAACUGACGCUGAGGCGCGAAAGUGUGGGGAGCAAACAGGAUUAGAUACCCUGGUAGUCCACACGGUAAACGAUGAAUGCUAGGUGUAGGGGGUAUCGACCCCUUCUGUGCCGGAGUAAACACAAUAAGCAUUCCGCCUGGGGAGUACGGCCGCAAGGUUGAAACUCAAAGGAAUUGACGGGGGCCCGCACAAGCAGCGGAGCAUGUGGUUUAAUUCGAAGCAACGCGAAGAACCUUACCAGUUCUUGACAUCCAUUUUAAGCGGUAGAGAUACCGUGUCCCUUUCGGGGGGGAAAUGAGACAGGUGGUGCAUGGUUGUCGUCAGCUCGUGUCGUGAGAUGUUGGGUUAAGUCCCGCAACGAGCGCAACCCUUAUUUUUAGUUACUAACGCGUGAAGGCGAGGACUCUAAAGAGACUGCCGGGGACAACUCGGAGGAAGGUGGGGACGACGUCAAAUCAUCAUGCCCCUUAUGACCUGGGCUACACACGUGCUACAAUGGCCACUACAAAGAGGAGCGAGCCCGAGAGGGGGAGCGAAUCUCAUAAAAGUGGUCCCAGUUCAGAUUGUGGGCUGCAACCCGCCCACAUGAAGUCGGAGUUGCUAGUAAUCGCGGAUCAGCAUGCCGCGGUGAAUACGUUCCCGGGCCUUGUACACACCGCCCGUCACACCAUGGGAGUUGGGAGCACCCAAAGCCGGCGAGGUAACCGCAAGGAGCCAGCCGUCCAAGGUGAGACCAAUGACUGGGGUGAAGUCGUAACAAGGUAACC